rnacentral:lncRNA from 1 species
UAAUGAGUUGAGUUGGAACUGUUCCAACCCAUUGAAAGAAGUUUUCAAUGAUGUUGUGAUAGAGAUCGCAAUAUAUCACACUACCAGUUAGAAUAAAAUCUAUGGGAUCACACAUACUAGAAGUAUUGACCGAUCCGAUGGUUAAAAUAUGAUUACGAAUCACGAGUAAUCAAUCCGAUUGAGAAUCAAUUGAAGAAGGAACACUGGGAGUCCUACUUGGAGUAGUGAUAAGUGCUAAAUAAUACAUAAAUUAACCUCUCUCUCAUGGCACUUAUCAUUAUUUUAAUACACAUAUUUUGUAAAGUUAACCACAAAAGAUGUGUUACCCUCAUCAUUGCAUUAAUUCAAGUUUGAUUUAAUUAUUUAUUAAUUGAGCCUAAUGUAUGCAGGUCAAGUCAAGCUCAAUAAGAUAAAGCCUAAACUGCAUCAUUUCAUAAUUCCACAUCCUCCGGAGUCGACUCCAAGAACUCUCCUCCAAAACCCAGUGCUUCCCAUUAAU